AUUGAACGCUGGCGGCAGGCCUAACACAUGCAAGUCGAACGAGCGGCGGACGGGUGAGUAAUGUCUGGGAAACUGCCUGAUGGAGGGGGAUAACUACUGGAAACGGUAGCUAAUACCGCAUACCAUCAGAUGUGCCCAGAUGGGAUUAGCUAGUAGGUGGGGUAAAGGCUCACCUAGGCGACGCUCCCUAGCUGGUCUGAGAGGAUGACCGGCCACACGGGAACUGAGCCACGGUCCAGACUCCUACGGGAGGAAGCAGUGGGGAAUAUUGCACAAGGGGCGAAAGCCUGAUGGAGCCAUGCCGCGUGUAUGAAGAAGGCCUUCGGGUUGUAAAGUACUUUCAGCGAGGAGGCGUUACUCGCAGAAGAAGCACCGGCUAACUCCGUGCCAGCAGCCGGGGUAAUUC
rnacentral:rRNA from 1 species